UUUAAGAUGAUUGGACUCUAAAAGCUGAUGACCAAUUUUAUUUAUUUAUUUUUUAGGUUGUCACACAUUCUGAUCCAACAAUAUAUUUUUUAAAUAGAAAAAAAUCAAUCAGAGAUGAUAACAGAAACAGGCACAACAGGUGAGGACCGCUGCUGACGGAAUGCUGGGGGGAGGUCUUAAGAUAAGCUCCUCCCCCUGGCCUUUGACCAGACUUGAGUCGCAGUUCACGCGCAGAACCGUCCGUGUCUUCCCUCGCGGUUCUGGUUCCGGACGGAGAUCCCCGCGUCUCGUGGUGGGCGUGUUCUUGGCUGACAGCUCUGACUUCCGGUCCGGCUGAGCCUCCCUCAUCAUCAUCAUCUUCAUCAUGAGCGUGUACAGCGACGCGUCCUCGGAGGAGCUCGGGGACGAGCUGCAGAGUCUGGGGUGCAGAACACGCUCAGGAGCUCUACAGCCACAUCCGGGAGCAAACCCAGAAGCAUCUGGACGCCUACGCCAGGGAGGGCCUCCGCACACUCUGCAUCGCUAAGAAGGUUCUGGAGGAGGACGAGUACGAUGUGUGGAUGAAGAGGCAGCUGAUGGCAGAAAGCAGCAUUGAGAACAGAGAGGAGCUGCUGCUGGAGUCGGCUCAGAGGCUGGAGACCAACCUCACUCUGCUGGGUAGGAGAGCUGACACACACGCGCCUUCAUCUGGAACGAGUUUGGUUAUAAAUGAUGAAUAAUGGAUGUUUUAUGAUAUGUUUAUUUUGAUGUGUUUAUUGUGGUGAUAGGUUGGGGAAAGGGGGCAAUGAGGUCAGGGGUAAAUUGAUAGCUAAAAAGGCUAAAGUUGAUGGCCGAAAAUGCUUAGGUUAAUAG